rnacentral:rRNA from 1 species
UACGGAGGGGGCGAGCGUUGUUCGGAGUUACUGGGCGUAAAGCGCACGUAGGCGGUGCGGUAAGUCAGGGGUUAAAGGCUGCAGCUCAACUGCAGUAAGGCCUCAGAUACUAUCGUGCUAGAGUGCCGGAGAGGGUAGCGGAAUUCCCUGUGUAGCGGUGAAAUGCGUAGAUAUAGGGAGGAACACCGGUUGCGAAGGCGGCUACCUGGCCGGUAACUGACGCUGAGGUGCGAGAGCGUGGGGAGCAAACAGG